UUUGUCCUACGGGGGGCAGCAGUGAGGAAUAUUGGUCAAUGGACGAGAGUCUGAACCAGCCACAUGGCGUGAAGGAUGACUGCCCUAUGGGUUGUAAACUUCUUUUAUAAAGGAAUAAGACGAGGCACGUGUGCCUUUUUGCAUGUACUUUAUGAAUAAGGAUCGGCUAACUCCGUGCCAGCAGCCGCGGUAAUACGGAGGAUCCGAGCGUUAUCCGGAUUUAUUGGGUUUAAAGGGAGCGUAGAUGGGUUGUUAAGUCAGUUGUGAAAGUUUGCGGCUCAACCGUAAAAUUGCAAUUGAUACUG
rnacentral:rRNA from 1 species